UAUAUAUGAUCGAUAGACGACCGAUCACACGUACUCUCAUCAGAAAAUUAAAAGGUUUAAAAAGAAAAGGACAUGCAUAUACUACACAUGCAUGCACAAGCAGAUUAUGUGUAAUAACCUAACCCAUGCAUGCAUGCAGAUUAUGCAGAGCAACAACGAACGACGACAUACACACAUAUAUAGUAUGAGCGAUCAAAUUAGAGCAAAUCAUAAUGCUCAUGCAUUUUAAUAAAAUUAAGCGGGGCAGGUGAAGUCCGCGGGGCAGAUCUUGCCGCAGUGGUUGAGGAGGAGGGUCAGGUCGACGGGCACGUUGAGGUUGAUGCCCAGGAUGUUGGCCUUGAUGGCGGUGCAGAGGCAGACGGCGGCGUCUAGGUCCACCAGGCCUUCCAGCAGCGGACAGCACUGGUCGUUCUUCGGGGGGAUGCUGAGCUUCAGUAGGUUCAGCACGUUGGCACACACCUCCAGCUUCAGCGCGUUCAUCGGGCACGACCCGCCGCCACCGCCAGAAGGCGGCGAUGGUGGCGGCACCACCGGCGGAGUAGGACAGUACGGCGUGCAGCCAUGCACCAGGGCCAGGACAGUGGAGAGGAUGGUCAGGGCCAGGAACAGGGAAAUAAGCUUGGAUGCCAUUGCUACCGAUCAGAGAGCUAGCUAGUAGCUAUAGCUCUUCAAUCAAAGGGAUUAAGUGUUUCUUUUGAUCGAGCUAGGUGU
rnacentral:lncRNA from 1 species